GGUCAACAUUAGGAUACAUUUAUUAUUGAGAGAAACAGAAGAUAGAUUUAUAUCUUACAUCAACAUUAAGUAGUAAUGUAAGAUGUGCUGAAUAACAAAGAAGAUUAUGGAUGGUAUACCGUCAAAGUAAACGUCUGGGCUUUUGCAAAGUAAUUUCAUCGAUAUAUUUUCUGUAGAACAUGCUAUAGAUGUUCAGAAACACCUCGACACACCAGUGCUUAUCUUACAAAAUCCACGGUCGGGCCGUCUGCUGCUACGUCUGGCCGCAGUGUGCUGUGGGCGUUUGUCAGAUGUAGAGUACUGCAUAAGAAAAUAUUUACAUGUAUUAGGCAUUAGUUUAAAUGAUAAUUACAUGUAUAUGUUUGUGGGCAUGACGCCCAUCUGAUCUGGCCGUUCCGUGUAUGUGGGAAUAAUGCCCAUCCGAUCUGGCCGCUCCCUGCAUUUGCCAAAGCUCGAGAAAGGGAAACGGCCAAAUCCUACCUUUAAUUAAGCGGAGAGAAAUUGAUCUCGCCAUGGCCGUCAAAUAGCAAUCAAU
rnacentral:lncRNA from 1 species